rnacentral:rRNA from 1 species
AGUGAACGCUGGCGGUAGGCCUAACACAUGCAAGUCGAACGGCAGCACAGUAAGAGCUUGCUCUUACGGUUGGCGAGUGGCGGACGGGUGAGGAAUACAUCGGAAUCUACUUUUUCGUGGGGGAUAACGUAGGGAAACUUACGCUAAUACCGCAUACGACCUACGGGUGAAAGCAGGGGAUCUUCGGACCUUGCGCGAUUGAAUGAGCCGAUGCCGGAUUAGCUAGUUGGCGGGGUAAAGGCCCACCAAGGCGACGAUCCGUAGCUGGUCUGAGAGGGUGAUCAGCCACACUGGAACUGAGACACGGUCCAGACUCCUACGGGAGGCAGCAGUGGGGAAUAUUCGACAAUGGGCGCAAGCCUGAUCCAGCCAUACCGCGUGGGUGAAGAAGGCCUUCGGGUUGUAAAGCCCUUUUGUUGGGAAAGAAAAGCAGCAGGUUAAUACCCCGAUGUUCUGACGGUACCCAAAGAAUAAGCAACGGCUAACUUCGUG